CUUAAUUCGGCCAGGUGCCUUAUUUUUCGUCAGACAAGACGAGUCGGGUUGGCGUGAACAAGUUCGCUAUUGAUUGUGCGGGGAACUACCAACGAAGCCAGGCCUUGAGACGAACAAGAUUACGCGCCAGUAAGCAAUCAGUCGGCCGGGUGCCUAAUUUUUCCGUCAGACAAGACGAGUCGGUUUGGCGUGAACAAGUUCGCUAUUGGUGUUUUAUGAUUUACCAGGCUCAACUACUCAUUUGAUGAAGUGGACU